rnacentral:rRNA from 1 species
UUAUUGGAGAGUUUGAUCCUGGCUCAGGACGAACGCUGGCGGCGUGCCUAAUACAUGCAAGUCGAGCGAGUCCCUUCGGGGGCUAGCGGCGGACGGGUGAGUAACACGUAGGCAACCUGCCCGUAAGCUCGGGAUAACAUGGGGAAACUCAUGCUAAUACCGGAUAGGGUCUUCUCUCGCAUGAGAGGAGACGGAAAGGUGGCGCAAGC